rnacentral:rRNA from 1 species
UAAAACCUAUUUAUAAUGGCGGCAUUUUAUCUUAUUAGAGGAACCUAUUUUAUAAUGGACAAUACACAUUAAAUUUCACUUAAAUUAAAAAUUUAUAUAUCGCCAUCUAAAAAACUAAUCUAAUAAUAAUAUUUUCAAUAAUAAAUAAAAAGUUAGGUCAAGGUGUAAUCAAUAUUAAAGCAGUAACGGGUUACAUUAAAAAAUAUUUAAGGAUAAAAAAAUGAAAAUUUUUUUUAAAAAAGGAUUUAAAAGUAUUAUUAAAAUAAUAUUUCAAUAUG